rnacentral:rRNA from 1 species
UACGUAGGGGGCAAGCGUUGUCCGGAAUCAUUGGGCGUAAAGCGCGUGUAGGCGGCUUGGUAAGUCUGCUCUGAAAGCCCGGGGCUCAACCCCGGGAGGCGGGUGGAUACUGUCAAGCUCGAGUCCGGAAGAGGAGUGUGGAAUUCCUGGUGUAGCGGUGAAAUGCGCAGAUAUCAGGAGGAACACCAAUGGCGAAGGCAGCACUCUGGGACGUGACUGACGCUGAGGCACGAAAGCGUGGGGAGCGAACAGG